rnacentral:lncRNA from 1 species
UCAGUAUGAUGAGGAUGCCUCUGGUGGUGGGUGUGGUCACUCAGUAUGAUGAGGAUGCCUCUGGUGGUGGGCGUGGUCAUUCAGUAUGAUGAGGAUGCCUCUGGUGGUGGGGUGCUGUGGAUGCCAUGGUAAUGACAAGCAGCAGUGACAGUCGAUUUAGUGGCCACAGGGACCUCCAGGAGCAGGCAGAGCUAUAGGUUGGUCCACCAAUACUGUGUCUUACUUCUUACAGUCUCACAGACAAUCUGCUGGGUGACAUCGGGCUCAGGUGCCUUCUGGAGUGCCUGCCACAGCUGCCCAUCUCUGGGUGGCUUGACCUCAGUCACAACAAUAUCUCUCAGGAAGGGAUCCUGUACCUGCUGGAGACUCUGCCUUCCUACCCUAAUAUCCAAGAGGUCUCUGUGAGUCUGAGCUCUGAGCAGAUCUUCCGAAUGUGCUUCUCCAAAAAGGAAGGAGCCGGGACAUCGCUGAGGCUAUGUGAAUGCAGCUUCAGCCCAGAACAAGUAUCCAAAUUGGCUUCCAGCCUGAGCCAGGCCCAACAGCUCACAGAGCUCUGGCUGACCAAGUGUCACUUGGACCUGCCACAGCUGACCAUGCUCCUGAACCUGGUGAAUCGGCCAACAGGGUUGCUGGGCCUCAGGUUGGAAGAGCCCUGGGUGGACUCUGUCAGCUUACCAGCUCUAAUGGAAGUCUGUGCCCAGGCCUCAGGAUGUCUCACUGAGUUAAGGUGAGUCCAG